GCUCAGCAGGGUGUCCAGGUCACUCUUGGUCAGCUCGCUGGACAUGUCCUUCCCCAGAAGGGCACUGAGGCCAUCAAUCCAGAUGCAGUACUGUGGGGAGCAAGUUGCAAAAUGUCACAUCGUGACCCCUGGUCAGCAAGAGAUCCUGCCAAGGUCUCUAUUCUGAUGGGGCUCACAACAGUUCCUUUUGGAACUAAUCAGUAUAGGCAAAACUGAUUUGGAAUGAUAGCAAAGAUAAAUUGGGAGGUGAUCCUUCACUUUCUCAAGAUACCUGGUUUUUAUAAGGGGUUUUAUAUUACAACUCCUUAAAAUAAUAUGAAAUAGAACCUAAAAAUGCAAUGAAUGAAUACAGCAAAAUGAGAUCUGAGUACUGGGGCAUCAUCUACCUGAAGUUACCCCAAAAUCAGAAGUGAGAGAAGGGAAAUAUGUAUUAGGUGAAAAGAAGCAAGACACAAACAGGAGUCAUUGCAGGAUCUCAAUUUUGUUUCCCCUGCCACCAAAAAAAAAGUGAAUUAAAAUCAAUCAAGUCAAUACAUAUUAAAGAGUAAAUACUAAAGAAAUGGAACUGGUGGGUCUCAUGCUAAGAGGGGGUAACCAGGAAGCCUUCUGAUCCCACUGCUCCCUAACUCUUUCUGCUUCCUCUGCUGCCAUUUUCCUUUUUCCACAUCAUUGCUUGCCUGGUUCCCCACUUGCUUGUUCUUCAUUUCCUCCCAAUAAAAUUCCACUAGCAGCAGCUCAGGCCCUGCCCAAGUGUCUCCUCUUUCAUAAGCCCUACUUCUAGUUCCCAGUGAUGGCUCUCAGAGCUCACCAGGCACUAGGGUCUCAAAUGCAAUCACUCAUUUAAUAUCUAGUAUCUUCCAGUGCUGGAGAUGGAACUACAGGGCCCUUGUCAGAAGGACCAGUUCCAUCUGGCUUCAAAGUCCACACUGGAUCCACUACAACAUGUGACCAGAAGCCCCUGGGAGGAAGGAUCUGUCAAGUUCUCUUGGGUAGUUGACCACAGAGAAACUGAAAAGGGGAGAAUUUUCCUAGUCCCAAGUAAAUGAGUCAUUCCUAGUUGACCUUGUCUUUGUAAUGACAACCUACGGCUGCUGCUGAAGAGUAAUGUGGACAGCCCAGCUCACGGAUAAACAAUCCAGAGUGUGACAGAUCCUUGGCAUUCUACAGCUUUCAUGAUACACUGCAGCCACCCACCGCAGGGGACAUUCCUGAUCUGUUCAUUCCUGGCACCAAUGAAAGAGUUACAGAAAUGGCUCUGUUGUCCAAGGUAGCACCACACUGCUCACCUCAUAUUUAUUAGGUGCAAUGAAGUUUAAGGUCUCAUCAGGGUCAUACAGGAUGGAGAAGGCCAAUUCCAACACCUCCUGAAGGAGAAACGGUUUAAAUUAGAGCGAUGGAACAGCCUGGGGUCUGCACAUCAAGAUCUGGGCCAAAGUCCUAGUGACUCGGCAUCAUCACCAAACAUGCUGAUUCAAAUGAAUGUCAUCAAUGCUCCUAGGCAGCCACAAGUGUGGCUGGAGAUUAGGCCCAGCAUAAAUCAACCUUAACUUACCCACUCCCUGCCCAAGUCACAUCAAAGAUGUUGUGAUAUUUUUAAGAUUGGAAAAAAGUCAUUUUCAACACUCAGAACCCUGGAAGGUCACAAUCCAUGACUGUAAGUUAUCCUAAAAGUUUUUAAUUACCAAGAUGACUAACAACUUCUAUCAUGAUGUAUUUGGCAUAGGAAUAUCUUAACAAUUAAAAAACAAAACAAAACAUACACACACAUGGUAAACUGGUCACUGUUGCAUGAUACCAGGGAACUAACUCAUUAUUUUGAAAGUAAGUACAUAAAAGAAGAAUCAGCAUUUAUUCUCAUUUUCUAUAUAAACUGUACCACUGGGAAACCAAUAGUAGAUAAGGGCAAGUUUCGUAGUUCAGCUCAUAAAUGAAAAGCAAUGACUGCAUCAAAAUAUCAUGAGUUUGCAAACCUUAGUUGACUAAUGGAAUGAGGCACUGAGCUUCAACAGUCUGCUAAUAUCACAAAAGGAGAGACCACCAGACAUUAUGUGCCUCUUGAUAAAACAUAAUACCACUGAUGACAUUGGCCAGAAAAAAAGUUAAACCUGAACUGGAUCAAACCUCUAGAUCCCUCUGCCGAUUUACAGAUCUGGGACAGAGGAACAAGUUAAACUGUACCAUGGGGAAACAAUCAGCAAAAUUCAGAUGCUAGGAAACUACCAAACAAGCAAUCUGAUUCUUCAACUAAUAAACUGCAAAGGAAAAGAUGGUGGGGGGCGGGGGGAACUUAGGAAUUAAGAAACUUAAAAGACCAGUCUUAGAUUCUGGUUUAAACAAGAUGGGUGUGUGUGUGUGUGUAUGCAUAUAAACAUUUAUAUAUCUGUAGAGAAAUUACGACAUUUAUGAGACAACUGGUAGAAAGUCAACAUCAGUGGAGUAUUUGAUCUGAAAUAACUACUUUCAUUUCCUGUUACGUGUGCUAAUGGACUGGUGGUAAUGUUAUAUACUAUAUGAUGUACACUAAAUAUUUACAGAUGAAACAGUGUGAUACUUGGGACUUUCUUCAAAGUGAUAAAGGAGAGAAACAAGUGGAUGGGCAGAAUUGGCCAUGGUUGCUGAGUCUGGGUGAUGCAUAUACAGAGGUUCCAUCUAUUUUUGUGUAUGUUCAAAAUUCUUAAUAAAACAUUCAGGAAUAGAGAGGGGAAGACGGUAAGAAUGCACCUGGAAAUAAACACCACCAAUGGCACUCUCCAAGUAUCAUUGGGCUAGCUACUCAAACUGGCCUCUCCACUCACCUUGUUCUGUUUCAGAGCACUUUUCUCUUUCAUGUGGGGACAAUCUUUCCCAGUGACAAUGGCCUUAAUGUCUGCAACAGGAACUGAUAAAUGAUGGGAAUUAGUCUCUGGAAGUUCAUGCUGCAAGCUGGUCAGUGCCUGCAUCAGUGCUGGAACGGAGGUACUGGGGCAGAUGCACAGGAAGCCUCAGCCCCAAACUCCAAGGGCUGCUGUAUGAGCUUAGUGAGGGUGGUGGGGAGGGUGGCCUUGUACUGUUCCCUCCUUCUUGUAGACCAUGGCCCAGUGAGGCUGUGUCAAAGCUAACUGAGGUUCACUUCAGGGCUCUUAGAUUUAUAUCCCCAAGGAAUGGGACCUUGGUGACUCCCCUCUCCUCCCCUUCACAAUAAUGGCAGUGAUGAUGCUAUCAUCGCCAACAGCAGUGGCAGCUGCUAACAGUUAUGCUGACUACCGGCCAACCACUCUUCUAAGUGCUUUGCAUACAUUACUCAUGCAGUCCUCUUAGGAGGAAAGUGUGGCUAUUAUUCCCACUUUACAGGAGAAGAAACCAAGGCACAGGGGAGAACUAACUUGCAAUUAAUUAUGAUUCAAGUUAAUUAGGAGCAAAGCCAGGAUUUGAAUGUGGGCAGUCUGGCUUCAUAGCUUCUCCUCUUAACUGCUGCCUUUCUACUUAGUCAUGUACCACCCUUUACACAACACACUCACACCUGAGAACUCAUUAUUUCUCCAAACCACCCCACCGAGUAGGCCAGGUAGAGGCCAUCACUGACAGAUAAGGAAACAGGUCCAGAAAGGUGACAGGUACAAGCCCAGAUGAUCAGCUAGAAACAGCCCGGACUAGAACUCCUGUCUCCUGACAAGUCCAGUGACCAUGACACAUCAACAGAGAAGUGAACCUACUUUUCUCUUGCAGGGAUUCGAAUGUCACCUCCCCUUGUGGGUUGUCAUCCAAGUCACCAUAGUGAAGGACCUUGUGGUUCAGUGCCAACCGGCAGUACCAGAACCGUUCUGGAACACAAGGGAAACCAAACAGCUCUUUUCACAGCCAUCACCACCACUGAACUGUGAGCUCUUGAGUGCUGGAUGGUAGCCGCCUCACCAUGCAUCCCGGAACCUACUUCGCAUGAUGCUGCACACCAAGUAGGUAUGCAAGAAAUACUUCUUUCGGUUAACUCCAUCCUCAAGCCCUUACUCUAUCACAAAAUAUUCACACUAGCUUUGCAAAGAACCUAGCAGUUUGGGUAGGAGGACAGGUCCCCUCUCUACCCACUCUAGCUGACCCCAACCUCCCUACAGAUGGAUUCGUUUCACAGGGCCAAACUUUGCACAUAAACUCAGACUCACCAUCAACAAAGCAAAGCAAACAUUAAAGUCCCACCAGCUUCCUAACUGUCAUCUAUUCCAGGGUCACCAUGGGGUUGCUUGUCAGGGCUCUGGCUGGGUGGCACCAUUGACUUCCCAUCAAGGGGGAGGGCCUACAACCGUCUAUGCCCUGAGGUACUUACAGUAAAUCCCAGCAUUUUGUA